UACGAAGGGGGCUAGCGUUGCUCGGAAUCACUGGGCGUAAAGGGUGCGUAGGCGGGUCUUUAAGUCAGGGGUGAAAUCCUGGAGCUCAACUCCAGAACUGCCUUUGAUACUGAGGAUCUUGAGUUCGGGAGAGGUGAGUGGAAUUCCCAGUGUAGAGGUGAAAUUCGUAGAUAUUGGGAAGAACACCGGUGGCGAAGGCGGCUCACUGGCUCGUAACUGACGCUCAGGCGCGACAGCGUGGGGAUCAAACAGG
rnacentral:rRNA from 1 species